rnacentral:rRNA from 1 species
GUGAGGAAUUUUCCGCAAUGGGCGAAAGCCUGACGGAGCAAUGCCGCGUGAAGGAUGAAGGCCUAUGGGUUGUAAACUUCUUUUCUCAGAAAAGAAUUAUGACGGUAUCUGAGGAAUAAGCAUCGGCUAACUCUGUGCCAGCAGCCGCGGUAAGACAGAGGAUGCAAGCGUUAUCCGGAAUGAUUGGGCGUAAAGCGUCUGUAGGUUGUUUAAAAAGUAUUCUGUCAAAGAUUAGGGCUUAACCCUAGAUAGGCAGAAUAAACUUUUAAGCUAGAGUUUGGUAGAGGAAGAGGGAAUUCCCGGUGGAGCGGUGAAAUGCGUAGAUAUCGGGAGGAACACCAAAGGCGAAGGCACUCUGCUGGGCCAAUACUAACACUGAGAGACGAAAGCGAGGGGAGCAAAUGGGAUUAGAAACCCGUGUAGUCC